rnacentral:rRNA from 1 species
CCUACGGGAGACAGCAGUGGGGGAUAUUGCACAAUGGGGGAAACCCUGAUGCAGCGACGCCGCGUGAGUGAAGAAGUAUUUCGGUAUGUAAAGCUCUAUCAGCAGGGAAGAAAAUGACAGUACCUGACCAAGAAGCCCCGGCUAACUACGGGCCAGCAGCCGCGGUAAUACGUAGGGGGCAAGCGUUAUCCGGAUUUACUGGGUGUAAAGGGAGCGUAGACGGUUUGGUAAGUCUGGAGUGAAAUCCCGCGGCCCAACCCUGAAACUGCUUUGGAAACUGUGUAACUGGAGUACAGGAGAGGCAGGCGGAAUUCCUGGUGUAGCGGUGAAAUGCGUAGAUAUCAGGAGGAACACCGGCGGCGAAGGCAGCUUACUAAACUGCCACUGACAUUGAUGCUCGAAAGUGUGGGUAUCAAACAGGAUUAGAUACCCGUGUAGUC